rnacentral:rRNA from 1 species
AUGAAUAUGAUUGGAUCAUGUUUAUUGCGAUACGGUUAUUCAUUUAAAUCAGAGAAUAAUUGGUGUUCUGUUUAUAUGAAUAAAACCUUCUAUGGUCAUACACACAAUGUAAAUGGUUUAUUGAAUCUCGAUCGUGGUGAUACACAUAUUCAUAAUAUUGAUGCCAAAAGAUGCAAAGUUGAUAAUGAUAGUGCAACCUAUUUAUGGCACUACCGUUUAGGUCAUAUUGGUGUAAAGCGCAUGAAGCAACUCCAUGCAGAUGGGCUUUUGGAAUCACUUGAUUAUGUAUCAUUUGAUACUUGCGAACCAUGCCUCAUGGACAAGAUGACUAAAACUCCGUUCUCCGGAACAAUGGAGCGAGCUACUGAUUUGUUGGAAAUAAUACAUACCGAUGUACGCGGUCCGAUGAGUGUUGAGGCUCAUGGCGUAUCGUUAUUUCUGACCUUCACAGAUGAUUUGAGCAGAUAUGGGUAUAUAUACUUGAUGAAACACAAGUCUGGAACAUUUGAAAAGUUCAAAGAAUUUCAGAGUGAAGUGGAGAAUCAUCGUAACAAGAAAAUAAAGUUUCUACGAUCUGAUCGCGGAGGCGAAUAUUUGAGUUAUGAGUUUGGGCUUCAUCUAAAAGAAUGUGAAAUAGUUUGA